UGAACGCUGGCGGCAUGCCUUCCACAUGCAAGUCGCACGGCAGCACGGGUGCUUGCCCCUGGUGGCGAGUGGCGAACGGGUGAGUAAUACAUCGGAACAUGUCCUGUAGUGGGGGAUAGCCCGGCGAAAGCCGGAUUAAUACCGCAUACGAUCUACGGAUGAAAGCGGGGGACCUUCGGGCCUCGCGCUAUAGGGUUGGCCGAUGGCUGAUUAGCUAGUUGGUGGGGUAAAGGCCUACCAAGGCGACGAUCAGUAGCUGGUCUGAGAGGACGACCAGCCACACUGGGACUGAGACACGGCCCAGACUCCUACGGGAGGCAGCAGUGGGGAAUUUUGGACAAUGGGCGAAAGCCUGAUCCAGCAAUGCCGCGUGUGUGAAGAAGGCCUUCGGGUUGUAAAGCACUUUUGUCCGGAAAGAAAUCCUUGGCCCUAAUACGGUCGGGGGAUGACGGUACCGGAAGAAUAAGCACCGGCUAACUACGUG
rnacentral:rRNA from 1 species